UAGAAUUUUGUUUUUCAUGUUUCAUUACAAGCUCACAACCAUUUAGCCUACCGCACUUAAAAUUGAUUUGGGUGGUUUAUAUUCAGUGGAGAAUCUGCCAACCUGAUUCAUCUCUUAUUCAUACGGGCAAAGAAAACCAGACUAUACUCAAGAUUGAUGAUGCUGUUGAAAGGAUCCUUAGAGUCAAAUUCAUUAAAGGACAAGAACCUUGGACAGCGUCACACAGCAUAAACUCUUCUCCGGCAUCCUCUGUUCUUGCGGGUGUUUAGGCAACAGGUCCGGCGAACUCUGGUUUUCUUCUUGGCUUGGCGUGGCAGAUCGGUCCUCUCUCUGGCGUAGCAGUUCCCUCAUCCGCGAGAAGCAGCUAUGGUGAAUCCCCUCCGGUGGUGUGAUCUCUCUCCCCUGUUUCUGGCGAGAAAGCGUCUUCUCCGACACGUUAAUGGUGGCACAGUAAAAGCUUCGCAUGGUGAAGGUGGGAGAUGAUCGGUAAUUAAGGUUAUUAAGAUUUAAUUUAUAGUAAUUAGUGGUUAAUAAGCCACAUCAUUAGUAAAUAAGUCCACAUCAGCUUUCAAACCGGUGACAUGUCAUACAAUUUAUCGGAAACCUACAAAAAAUGCUAGGCACAAAAAAAAAAAGUAGUUUAUGGCUCGAAUAAUCACUUAUGGAAGACAAUGGUGCGAGUUGAAUAAUCGUGAUAGAUUCAUAGUGCAGGAUGACACUUUAGCCUAGAUCUUUUGAGGAUUUGAAUCAAUUAGUCUUGCAUAAUCUCCCUUGAGUUCUAAAGUUCUUAAAUCUAGGAGUAGAUAAUGCUUGUUUGAUGAUUGAUUGUGUAUUGGGAUGAUUGUCUUGACUCUAUGCCAACAAGGAUCCGGUUGUAGUA